CUGGCUCAGGAUGAACGCUAGCUACAGGCUUAACACAUGCAAGUCGAGGGGCAUCAUGGAGUUUGCUUGCAAACUCUGAUGGCGACCGGCGCACGGGUGAGUAACGCGUAUCCAACCUUCCCUAUAGUAGAGGAUAGCCCGGCGAAAGUCGGAUUAAUACUCUAUGUUUUCCGUUGCAGACAUCUAAGAUGGAACAAAGGCUUGCCGCUAUAGGAUGGGGAUGCGUCUGAUUAGGUAGUCGGCGGGGUAACGGCCCACCGAGCCAUCGAUCAGUAGGGGUUCUGAGAGGAAGGUCCCCCACAUUGGAACUGAGACACGGUCCAAACUCCUACGGGAGGCAGCAGUGAGGAAUAUUGGUCAAUGGGCGAGAGCCUGAACCAGCCAAGUAAGCGUGCAGGACGACGGCCCUAUGGGUUGUAAACUGCUUUUAUGCGGGGAUAAAGUUCACUACGUGUAGUGUUUUGUAGGUACCGCAUGAAUAAGGACCGGCUAAUUCCGUGCCAGCCGCCGC
rnacentral:rRNA from 1 species